UACGUAGGGGGCAAGCGUUGUCCGGAUUUAUUGGGCGUAAAGAGCGUGUAGGCGGCCAGACAGGUCCGUUGUGAAACUAGAGGCUUAACCUCUAGACGUCGAUGGAAACCGUCUGGCUAGAGUCCGGAAGAGGAGAAUGGAAUUCCUGGUGUAGCGGUGAAAUGCGCAGAUAUCAGGAAGAACACCCGUGGCUAAGGCGGUUCUCUAGUACGGUACUGACGCUGAGACGCGAAAGCGUGGGGAGCGAACAGG
rnacentral:rRNA from 1 species